rnacentral:rRNA from 1 species
AUGCGCCGGGGGCUAGGCGGGACCAGAGGGGUCCGCGGAGCAGGCCGGCUAGGCGCGCUCCCGGACGAGGUCCUCCAGCACGUGCUCUCGUUCCUGCCGUCGCGCGAGGCCGUGCACACCAGCCUGCUCGCCCGCCGCUGGCGCCACCAGUGGAAGUCCGCGCCGGCCCUGCGGAUCACCGGCGCCGACUCCUUCAAGAGCGCCCGUGAACUCAACGACUUCGUCAACUACCUCAUCGCCCUCCGUGGCCGGCCGCCCCUCCACGCGUGCGAGUUCGAGGCCUGCGAGGUGUACGACUACGAGGACUAUGAUGAGGGCUCCCAAGACGACGACGGCGAGCGGUCACGGUACACCGAUCUGUGGAUCCGGUACGCCUUGUCAUGCCACGCUCGGCUGCUUCGGAUCAGGGACCAUGACCCUAACAACGUUGAUCCCAAAAACGAGGCUCCGCUGAAUGUUCUGCUUGAGACUCCCAUCUCCUCCCCGCAUCUCACGACGUUGGAUCUCGAUGGUGUGAUCUUCUCGAGCAAAUACUCUCUGGAUUUCUCGAGUUGCCCGAACCUGGAGACCGUAAAGAUGCACCGUUGCUCCUUCUCAAUCAUAUGCUGCGACGGUCCCAUCAAGGUAUCUUCGCAAUCUGUGAAGUAUCUUAGCAUCACGGACUAUAAUUUUCCUCGUUAUGACAAGAAGGGAGCUCUCAUAUCUGUCCCAAACCUCGUCUACUUAGAGCUGGGUAGCGGCCGUGGCAAGGUUCCUACGUUUGAGUGCACGCCGUCGUUGCUAGCAGCAUCUAUCAAGCUUGAUGAUAAGGAUGGUUCCUUCCUCCUUGAGCGCUUGUCAGCUACCAUUAAUCUAGAGCUCAUGAUCGAGCCUCAAGCGUCUGCUGCUUUCAGGAAAGAACUAAUACGGUGCACCACAUUUAGCAAGCUCAAAACUUUGUCACUAGAUGAUUGGUGUGUGGAGCCUGAUUACAGCCCACUACUUUACUUUCUCCGGCGGUCACCAAGUCUCGAGAACCUCCACCUCCGACUAUCUAAGAAAUAUAAACAUGCCGAAGAAACAGACGGAAGCUACGCUCCAAUAGAACCGUUUUUGGCAUCAAAGAAUCUUAGGGUUGUCAAGAUCAAAUGUCUGGCCCAAGAUGAGCGUGUUCCCAAAAUUGUGAAGGUCCUGAGUUCAUGUGGAGUAACUGCUGAGCUAAUCAGCAUCAACAAAAGAAUUUGGUCUUCCGACAGAUCAUAUUCAGAUUUAGAGGAGUCAAAUUAUUCACAUUCAGAUUCAGAGGAGUCAAACUAUUCACAUUCAGAUUCAGAGCAAGAGCAAUCGGAUUAA